CCUACGGGGGGCUGCAGUGGGGAAUAUUGCACAAUGGGGGAAACCCUGAUGCAGCGACGCCGCGUGAGUGAAGAAGUAUUUCGGUACGUAAAGCUCUAUCAGCAGGGAAGAAAAUGACGGUACCUGACUAAGAAGCCCCGGCUAAGUACGUGCCAGCAGCCGCGGUAAUACGUAGGGGGCAAGCGUUAUCCGGAUUUACUGGGUGUAAAGGGAGCGUAGACGGCAGCGCAAGUCUGGAGUGAAAUCCCAUGGCUUAACCAUGGAACUGCUUUGGAAACUGUGCAGCUAGAGUGCAGGAGAGGUAAGCGGAAUUCCUAGUGUAGCGGUGAAAUGCGUAGAUAUUAGGAGGAACACCAGUGGCGAAGGCGGCUUACUGGACUGUAACUGACGUUGAGGCUCGAAAGCGUGGGGAGCAAACAGGAUUAGAUACCCCGGUAGUC
rnacentral:rRNA from 1 species